UAAAUAAAUAUAUAUAUACAUAUAUACAUGCACACACACAAGGAAAUGCACUAAGCUACUGUUACCUCAGUAGACAUGAAGAUGACAAACUACAAUACUUCACAGCCUCCCCUAAUGAGAACCUUAAUGGGGAAAAAGUGUCCCAUUUGGUGAUCACAGUAAAGGGAGCUUCAUGUACAGGUGAGUGAAGCUCCAGAAAUGAGGCACUUCUGAGACUGCAGCUCUACAACAGGACUCGGCAGGCGAAGCAAGGGCUCACUUGCAGAGUGCACAUCCCCUGGACUUGGUGUGGUGCACACACUGUACAGUGAUUCAUCAUUGCCUGCUUAUCUCACUAUCAAGUCUUUAGUUUCUGCAAAACUGUGAUGACAACUGCUAAAGUUUCAACAAUUCUGCACAAAGAUUAAAAAAACUCAGAAACUAUACCUUUGCAUAGUAGGUGGCCAAGAGUGCAAUAAGCUUUUAAUUGAACAUAAAUUGGAAAUAAUGGUCUAAGACCCAAAACCCAAUAUUAUAGCAGAAAACAACCGCACUAAGAGUGCUGACAAGUUCCACACAAUAUAAAUCUGAAUUCAGAAGGA